UAUUGGACAAUGGGUUAGCGCCUGAUCCGGCCAUCCCGCGUGAAGGACGACGGCCCUAUGGGUUGUAAACUUCUUUUGUAUAGGGAUAAACCUACUCUCGUGAGAGUAGCUGAAGGUACUAUACGAAUAAUCACCGUCUAACUCCGUGCCAGCAGCCGCGGUAAUACGGAGGGUGCAAGCGUUAUCCGGAUUUAUUGGGUUUAAAGGGUCCGUAGGCGGAUCUGUAAGUCAGUGGUGAAAUCUCACAGCUUAACUGUGAAACUGCCAUUGAUACUGCAGGUCUUGAGUAAAUUUGAAGUGGCUGGAAUAAGUAGUGUAGCGGUGAAAUGCAUAGAUAUUACUUAGAACACCAAUUGCGAAGGCAGGUCACUAAGAUUUAACUGACGCUGAUGGACGAAAGCGUGGGGAGCGAACAGG
rnacentral:rRNA from 1 species